CAGGAUACAGCAUCUUGCUCCAAAAGCCAUUGAAAUAAAGAAUCCUGGGAUUGAUUUCCUAAUGUCUUGCUGAAGAUUUCUGAAGCUAUGACCAUGAAGGACAUAGAGAAGCCACUUGAAGGAGCCCCGCCAUGGAAAGUGCUGGACAGAGAGCGAAGGAGAGCUUCUCGUGUUUCCAGCGGGCGAGCCUGACCCGCGGGCCGGGGGAGAGG